UACGUAGGUGGCAAGCGUUGUCCGGAAUUAUUGGGCGUAAAGCGCGCGCAGGCGGUCCUUUAAGUCUGAUGUGAAAGCCCACGGCUCAACCGUGGAGGGUCAUUGGAAACUGGGGGACUUGAGUACAGAAGAGAAGAGUGGAAUUCCACGUGUAGCGGUGAAAUGCGUAGAUAUCUGGAGGAACACCGGUGGCGAAGGCGGCAUUCUGGACCGAUAUUGACGCUGAGGAGCGAAAGCCAGGGGAGCAAACGGG
rnacentral:rRNA from 1 species